rnacentral:rRNA from 1 species
AGAGUUUGAUCCUGGCUCAGAUUGAACGCUAGCGGGAUGCUUUACACAUGCAAGUCGGACGGCAGCACGAAGAGCUUGCUCUUUGGUGGCGAGUGGCGAACGGGUGAGUAAUGUAUCGGAACGUGCCCAGUAGCGGGGGAUAACUACGCGAAAGCGUGGCUAAUACCGCAUACGCCCUACGGGGGAAAGGGGGGGAUCGCAAGACCUCUCACUAUUGGAGCGGCCGAUAUCGGAUUAGCUGGUUGGUGGGGUAAAGGCCUACCAAGGCGACGAUCCGUAGCUGGUUUGAGAGGACGACCAGCCACACUGGGACUGAGACACGGCCCAGACUCCUACGGGAGGCAGCAGUGGGGAAUUUUGGACAAUGGGGGCAACCCUGAUCCAGCCAUCCCGCGUGUGCGAUGAAGGCCUUCGGG